RUUCGCCUUAGGUUUGAUCSUGGGUCAGAACGAACGCUGGCGGCGCGUUUUAAGCAUGCAAGUCGAGCGGUAAGCAUCCUUCGGGAUGCCUAGAGCGGCGAACGGGUGAGUAACACGUAGGUAAUCUGCCGUACGAUUGGGGAUAGCCCAUGGAAACAUGGGGUAAUACCGAAUACGACCUUCGGGGGAAAGGCGCUUCGGCGCGUUCGUACGAUGAGCCUGCGGCGCAUUAGUUAGUUGGCGGGGUAAAAGCCCACCAAGGCGACGAUGCGUACCGACCUGAGAGGGUGAUCGGCCACACUGGGACUGAGAUACGGCCCAGACUCCUACGGGAGGCAGCAGCUAAGAAUCUUCCGCAAUGGACGCAAGUCUGACGGAGCGACGCCGCGUGGGCGAGGAAGGCCGAAAGGUUGUAAAGCCCUUUUCUGCGUGAGGAAUAAGGUAAGGAGGGAAUGCCUUACUGAUGACGGUAGCGCAGGAAUAARCCCCGGCCAAUUACGUGCCARCAGCCGCGGUAACACGUAUKGGGCGAGCGUUKUUCGGAAUUAUUKGGCGUAAARGGCGCGCAGGCGGUCAUKCAAGCUUKGUGUKAAAGACCACGGCUCAACGGUGGAAACCSCUGAAACUGUAUGACUUGAGUUUCGGAGGGGAGCUCGAAUUCAGGUGUAGGGUAAAUCUGUAAUAUCUGGAAACAUCAUUG
rnacentral:rRNA from 1 species